GCAAGUCGAACGGGAUCUUCGGAUCUAGUGGCAGACGGGUGAGUAACGCGUGGGAACCUGCCCAGUAGUAGAGAAUAACUUGAGGAAACUUAAGCUAAUACUUUAUACACCCUCCGGGGAAAAGCUUUAUGCGCUAUUGGAUGGGCCCGCGUUAGAUUAGUUUGUUGGUGAGGUAAUGGCUCACCAAGACUACGAUCUAUAGCUGGUCUGAGAGGAUGAUCAGCCACACUGGGACUGAGACACGGCCCAGACUCCUACGGGAGGCAGCAGUGGGGAAUAUUGGACAAUGGGGGCAACCCUGAUCCAGCGAUGCCGCGUGAGUGAUGAAGGCCUUCGGGUUGUAAAACUCUUUCGUCAGGGAAGAUAAUGACGGUACCUGAAGAAGAAGAUCCGGCUAACUCCGUGCCAGCAGCCGCGGUAAUACGGAGGGAUCUAGCGUUAUUCGGAAUUACUGGGCGUAAAGCGAGCGUAGGCGGAUUUGUAAGUUGGAGGUGAAAUCCCAGAGCUUAACUCUGGAACUGCCUUCAAAACUACAUUUCUUGAGUUUGGUAGAGGAGAGUGGAAUUCCUAGUGUAGAGGUGAAAUUCGUAGAUAUUAGGAGGAACACCAGUGGCGAAGGCGACUCUCUGGGCCAAUACUGACGCUGAGGUUCGAAAGCAUGGGUAGCGAACAGGAUUAGAUACCCUGGUAGUCCAUGCAGUAAACGAUGAGUGCUAGAUGUUGGGAAUUUAAAUUUCCAGUAUCGCAGUUAACGCGUUAAGCACUCCGCCUGGGAAGUACGGCC
rnacentral:rRNA from 1 species